ensembl:lncRNA
GGCUUAUUGCUUUUAUAAAACGGUUAUACCAUAUAUGUAGCAAGGUUUCACAAAAUAAAAAAAAGCUAAUAAAAUGUAAUGAUAUUAAUAAAAACAUUAUUCUUCCACCUAACAAUGUAGUUCCUCAGAAACGGUUGUGGGUGCAACAAAGUGGUUGCAGAGCAACAACAGACGUAAACUAAGGUGUAUGCUUGUAGAGUAAUUUACAACAGCUUCGAACACGGCUCAACCAAUCAGAAUCAAGGACUGGAACUAUCCCUUUUAUAAUAUGGGUUUUAUUCAUAAAAUGUACUUUUAUCUGCAUUUUAGAUCUUUAAGAGUUGCUAGAAGUCCUCCAACCUGAACUCUUUGACAUGCUAGAGUGUUCAUCACCAGAUGACAACAUUGACUCUUCAGGGUGUUUGUCAGCAGCUGGCAACUUUGACUCUGCGGUGAGCUCCACUGAACACAAUGUCAUUGUCUCACAGUAGAUGGGGACAUUAACUCUGCUGUGAGUCUCAAAGCAGAUAGGGACGGUGCCUGUGCAGUGAGUGCCAAAGCAGAUGGGGGGAUUGCCUGUGCAGUGCAUCCCAAAAUAAAUGGGGGCCCUAUGAAGUGCAUCCCAAAGUAGAUGGGGGCAUUGCCUGUGCAGUGCGACCCAAAAUAGAUAGGGGAACCGCCUCUCUAGUGCACCUCAAAGUAGAUGGCAUCACUGACUCCAUUCUAACAGGAGAGCUGGACAAGAGUAAGUUUACUGUCAUAACCCAAAACAGCUGUAACAUUUAAAUUUUUAUUUUUUAUUUUUUUUAUUCUCUUUUAACAGAUCACAUUUGUAGGCAGUACAAAUUUGGUGGCAGGCUGGGUCAAGGAGGAUUUGGCUCAGUGCGUAAAGGGAUUCACUACAAGGAUGGUCUUAAGGAUUUUCACAGUCUUUCAGUGGCACAAGACCGUACAUGCCUCCGGAGUAUUAUGACAGAGGCUUUUACCAUGCAAAGCCCGCAACAGUGUUUUCACUGGGGGUGCUUCUGUUCUGUUCUGUUCGUAAUGCUGCCUGGAUGUUUUCCACAAGCCAGUGAAUUAUACUUCUUGAGCAAUGACCAGUCCAUGUUUGCUGUGUCACAAGAAUGCAUCUAUUUUUUUGUCAGCUUGUCUGCAGAGUCAUACAGAGAACAGGAUUCUUCUGGAGCAAAUGUCUUAUCAUGACUGGUUGAUGUUGGGUUUUCAUAAACACCCACCACGUAAUUACAUCUAACCUGCAUUCCCAUCAUCGAUAAAAGUAUGUUUAAACAUUAUUUUUAGAAUGUUGCCUGCUUUUAAUAAUGCAUGUUUUGUAUGCUGUUUAUUUUGUGUGUUGAUAAAGCUUAUUUAUGUUUUUGUUUCAGGUCACUGCAUAAGACAUGGAGAAAAGCAGAAAACGGCCACCCGGUGGUUUUCUCUCUUCAGUCAGCAUUGUGUCUGGCAGGCUAACAUGAGUGGCAUUUCUGUCCCUUAGGGAUGUUUAAAUAUUGUAUAUUGUAUAUACACAGUGUAAAUACUUUUUUAAUAAUUAAAAUAAUUAUUAUAUACUUACGCCUUAUUACAGGCCUAGGGAGUUAAAAAUAUUGUAUAUUGUAUAUAGUGUAAAUAGUUUUAUACUAUAUUUAAAAUAUUUAUUUAACAUCUCUCUACAUAGGACUUAUUACUUUCUUAGGGAUGUUUAAAUAGUGUAUAUAGUUAUACAAUACUGUAAAUUGUUUUUAAUAAAUAACUUUUUUAUUUAAAAAAUCUUUAUAUAUUUAUAAUAUAUUAGAAAUAAAAUAUAUUUAUAGUAAAAAUAUUAAUAGUAUUGCACUGGUUAUGUUAUUGCAUUUAGUUGUGGUGUGUCUUAAAGAGCUUCACAGCACAUUUCCCUGACACAAUGUCAUGUGCGGUGACUGUAAAGAAGCGCACUUUCAUGAGAAAAAAAUAACUUUAAUCAUAAGUCGAACACUCUGGAAAAUCACAGGGAAACAAAACCAUGCAAAAAAUAUAAGAACAGACAAAGGAACUGAGGAAGCACAGCUUAAAAACAUUUUAAUGGUAAAACAGAACAGGUAAAAAGGAACUAAUUACCAAAUAAGGAAACUAAUUGAGAUAUCAGGCAUACAGAGGGAAAAUGAAAGUGCAAAGAAACUGAACGGACAGAGACUGUGACAUGUAAUGACCCAACAGAAUCCUGCAAAGUGAUCACUUCUGUCACUUCUGAAGCUGCUACGGUCCCAGAGCUCUCUAUCAUGGCAACCUCAGUCCCAGAAAAGUCAAGAAAUGUAUUAUAAAUGGUUAAACAAUAAACACACACUCCAAAAUAUUGGGUUAAAAACAUAUUUGGCAACCCAGUGCUGGUUAAAUAUUGGACAGAAGACAUGCUGGAAUAUUUUGACCUAGUUGGCUGGGUUAAGUGUUUAUUUAACUCAACUAUUGUUUAAAAAUUACUUUAUUGCUGGCUUAAAAAGGGGUGGAAACUAGAAAUCAUACACAGAAUUACUAGAGGCAACAGUAAUAAUCAAAAGUAACAUUUUAAUUAAAGUGUGUUCAAUGAUUUUCUCUAAUCCCUUUUCAUUGAAAUAGUAUUUAUUCUCGUGCCAUUGUGUUGCUGAAAUCUGAGCCAGUGAUGGGCUGCUGUUUGGCGGUGUAACUGUAAACAUCAGACCGCCGCCUUGCGUAUCACUCGUAACUGAAAGAUGCUGUGACUGACUCCAUAACCUGCCCAUAAACAAACAUUACUGACAUUAGAGAACAUAUUUUAACAUAAAAAUGAAAUAAAUUCAUUAUCAGUUUAUGUUGUGCAAGGCAAAAUGCAUUUCCAUCAUGCAAUAUGACCAUUGCCCAUUAGCUGACUGACAUCCCAUCGCUGUGUGAUUCUUUUUAAAUAUUUACAGCACAAUAAAGAUUUUAUAGAGCAAAUAAAAUGUACACAAACACAAAUUUCACUGAAGAAGUGCACAAAUUAGGAGACGCUGAGAACCGCUCUCUUCUGAAGAGGAUGCAGAAAGCCUGUGCUCUGACUGUAACUCAACUCUUCUGUGUAUAGUUUCAGCUGUCAGUGAGACUGACCCUGCCACUAGCCCAGUGGCUGGGUAACACAAAAACUACCCAACAGCAACACAACAUAAGACCCAACAGGCUUAACCCAGUUUUUGGGUAGAAAAAAUAACCCAGCAUUUUUUAUUGCAUCACAUCAGCA